GACGAACGCUGGCGGCGUGCCUAAUACAUGCAAGUAGAACGCUGAAGGAGGAGCUUGCUCUUCUGGAUGAGUUGCGAACGGGUGAGUAACGCGUAGGUAACCUGCCUGGUAGCGGGGGAUAACUAUUGGAAACGAUAGCUAAUACCGCAUAACAGUAGAUGUUGCAUGACAUUUACUUAAAAGGUGCAAUUGCAUCACUACCAGAUGGACCUGCGUUGUAUUAGCUAGUUGGUGGGGUAACGGCUCACCAAGGCGACGAUACAUAGCCGACCUGAGAGGGUGAUCGGCCACACUGGGACUGAGACACGGCCCAGACUCCUACGGGAGGCAGCAGUAGGGAAACUUCGGCAAUGGACGGAAGUCUGACCGAGCAACGCCGCGUGAGUGAAGAAGGUUUUCGGAUCGUAAAGCUCUGUUGUAAGAGAAGAACGAGUGUGAGAGUGGAAAGUUCACACUGUGACGGUAUCUUACCAGAAAGGGACGGCUAACUACGUG
rnacentral:rRNA from 1 species